CAUUGACUGGCCUCUUCAGUAACUUCCUGUUUAAGUCCUGGAAAUCCAAGCUUGUUAAACACCCACUUAGUCCCUAAUAGGGAACCUUACUUAACCUCGAGUCCAGUUCAAAUUAGUCGAGUACCUUGACCAAGUCUCCUCCAUUGACCGGCCUCUUCAGUAACUUCCUGUUUAUGUCCUCGAAAUCCAAGCUUGUUAAACACCCACUUAGUCCCUAAUAGGGAACCUUACUUAACCUCGAGUCCAGUUCAAAUUAGUCGAGUACCUUGACCAAGUCUCCUCCAUUGACCGGCCUCUUCAGUAACUUCCUGUUUAAGUCCUGGAAUUCCUUGCAAUACAAGGGUUCUCUUCCCAACUCAACUGGGCUGUUCAA
rnacentral:rRNA from 1 species